rnacentral:lncRNA from 1 species
AAAACCUGCAUUUUACCCCUAUGUUCUAUUUUUAGCCAUGGCGGCCAUCUUGGUUGGUUGACCGGGUCACCGGACACAAUUUUUUAAACUAGAUACCCCAAUGAUGAUUGUUGCCAAGUUUGGUUCAAUUUGGCCCAGUAGUUUCAGAGGAGAAGAUUUUUGUAAAAGAUAACUAAGAUUUACGAAAAAUGGUUAAAAAUUGACUAUAAAGGGCAAUAACUCCUAAAGGGGUCAACUGACCAUUUCGGUCAUGUUGACUUAUUUGUAAAUCUUACUUUGCUGAACAUUUUUACUGUUUACAGUUUAUCUCUAUCUAUAAUAAUAUUCAUGAUAAUAACCAAAAAC